GGAAAGGGGACUGGGUUUGAGUCUUGAGUCCUUUCCAGCAAGCGCCUUCCCGCUUGGAGCCUUGUUUCCUUCCUGGAUAAAUGGGCGGGGAAGCAUCGCGGAGGUGUGCGGGUUUAAUCGGCACAUGCGCUGCUGCCUGCAGGCCAAGCUCAGGAUAAGCUCUUGCAGUAAAUAGCAACGUUUAUGUCCCUCGACUCCUGGCUCAGAGACGCGACCCAGAAUCUGGCAACCAUACCCGCCCCUUAGCUGGCCCCCCUCCACUGAUGACUAAUGGCCAGGUGUAAGACAGUCUUCCGAAGGGGCCGUAAGACCACCAUGGGCUCAAGAUAGACAUUGAGUCCUGCCCUUGCCCACCUCCUCCUCUCUCCACCUCCACAUCUUGGUUUCUUGUCCUCUGUGUGCAAAAUGUGCUUUCCUGCCCCACCUACGUCUCCACAUAUGAAGAAUCAAUAACAAUUUUAGAGAGAAAAUACAGUUGUCAUGGAAAAAAAAUGGAGUGAAUUCAGAGUUCAUUAGGCAAGUUAAUCAAAUUGUCCAGCCGUGUCUUGCUGUUUCUGGGAACCAUCUGGCCCGCCUGAUCGAUGUGAUUCCAGGUGGGAAGUG
rnacentral:lncRNA from 1 species